GUGCUAAUAAGGCAGGAGCGAGAAAAGAUUGUGCCCGCUACCCGUGUAAGUCAGGCCACCGUCCGUAGCAGGAGCUCUUAAGGUACCAUGCGUUAGACCGGUGGAGUCAGACCAGACCUGUGUUCAGCAACCUCGAAGGCACCUUCUAACCUGGCUGGCAGCUGCACCUAGGAGCUCACCUGGAACUGUAGCCCAUUCUCAUCAGGGAGCUAGCUGCCUAUUAUCAUGGAAAGAUUAACAACUUUGCUGCAGAAACCAGAAUUGCCAGCCAUUUGAAGACCCUAGCCCUUGCAUAUCAUUAAGCCCUUUGAAGAUCCCUAGUCCUCUGCGUACCUGUUAACUGCCCAUUUGGCAUACCCUUUGGCUACUUCCCCAUGUAAUCUUUUGUCCUUUUACCCAAUAUAAGUAGCUGACUUAUGGUGGGGUGCAGAGCAGAUUUUUGUGGAUGCUGCUCUCCCGUA